CUACAGUCAGCUGGGGGUUAGCUGAAGGUUUGUUGAGGUUUGAUUUCACUGAGCUUGCAUAGGCUCUUUCACAUGUUUUAGACUUUGGCUGGGAUCAACCAGAUGACCAAUUCUGAUCCAAGUGAUCUCUGGUCUUCCAGGAAGCUAGUCUGGCUUAUUCAUACGAAGUUUGCAAAAGUCCAAGAAAGCAAGCAGAGGCAUGCAUGCAAGGCCUCUUGAAUCCGAAGCUAGGAACUACUAGAACAUCACUUCUGCCUCAUUCUAGCAGCCAAAGCAAGUCACCAGACCAGUUUAGAUUCAAGAUGAAAAAUGAAACCUUACAGUGCAAUUGAUCUACUCAUUCAAGAUCUCAGAAGUCCAGAAGUGGUGGCUUAUGCUUGUAAUCUUAGCACUUUGGGAUGCCAAGGUGGGUGGAUCACUUGAGGUCAGGAGUUCGAGACCAGCCUGGCCAACAUGAUGAAACCACAUCUCUACCAAAAAUUAGUCGGGGGUGGUGGUGGGCAUUUGUAAUCCCAGCUACUCCGGAGGCUGAGGCAAGAGAAUCACUUAAAUCUGGGAGGCAGAGGUUGCAGUGAACUGAGAUCAUGCCACUACACUCCAGCCUGGGCGAUGCAGUGAGACUCCGUCUCAAAAAA
rnacentral:lncRNA from 1 species